rnacentral:rRNA from 1 species
UACGAAGGGGGCUAGCGUUGCUCGGAAUCACUGGGCGUAAAGGGUGCGUAGGCGGGUUUUUAAGUCAGAGGUGAAAUCCUGGAGCUCAACUCCAGAACUGCCUUUGAUACUGAAAGUCUUGAGUAUGGGAGAGGUGAGUGGAACUGCGAGUGUAGAGGUGAAAUUCGUAGAUAUUCGCAAGAACACCAGUGGCGAAGGCGGCUCUCGUGACCGAGACUGACGCUGAGGCGCGAAAGCGUGGGGAGCAAACAGG